rnacentral:tRNA from 1 species
GCCGCGGUAGCUCAGUCUGGGAGAGCAAUCGGCUGAAGACCGAUGCGUCGCAGGCUCAAAUCCUGCCCGCGGCA